rnacentral:lncRNA from 1 species
CUCAGUAUUUUUCAGUGCUGUACAAGCGUCUUGAAUUACUCUGGUAGCUUUUCCAGAAAGACCCAUGACUUCACCACAUUUCUCGAGUUACGAUGAAGGUCCUCUGGAUGUCAGCAUGGCAGCCACAAACCUGGAGAACCAGCUGCACAGCGCACAGAAGAACCUCCUGUUCCUUCAGCGGGAGCAUGCCAGCACGCUCAAGGGGCUGCACUCCGAGAUCAGGCGGCUGCAGCAGCACUGCACAGAUUUAACAUAUGAGCUGACAGUCAAAAGUUCGGAACAGACAGGGAAAUGUUUCCUAAUCACAACAGAAGAGAAGCAAGCAGCCAUUGUACCACUAACACAAAGCAAGCAACUCUGCUUCGACUUCUCCCACUUUUGGGAAAAGUCCACUUUUCAAGAAGGAGACUGGAAACAGGAAGUGGCCCAGGCUUGCCCUCGUCACCGCCAGUGACACCAACCAGGCGCUCAGUGCAGCAUCCAGCUUCCAGCCUCAGGAUGGCCCCGAGACAGAGGCUGGCUGCUCCGAUUUCAACCAGAGCCAUUUCUGAGGCUGGAAUGAUCAACUGGAAUAGUGAAAAAUG